UUUUGAAAAUAAGGAACCGUUGGUCUUUUUGGCGGGUCAAAAUUUCAACGUUCCUUUCUAAGUGCUAUGUAUAUGUUAUGUGUGAAACACUGAAAACACAUCAUCGUUUCUUGUGUUAGCGAUUUCUUGAAAAGCAAAAGAGAGAGUCUGACUCUGAGAGAUGGGCGGAGAGAGGAAGAGAAAGCUAGAGAAAAGUGACGAAACAGAGAUCGAUAAACGUUGUAAUAAGAGGCGUGAAGGUCUUUUUGAGGAGGCCUAUAAGUUCUUGGCCGAUGCUUCCUCUGUUGAGUCCUGUAGUCUUUGGCUUCAAGCUGUUCUUGAUGAUUACGAUUCUUACGAUUUUAGCAAAGAAGAGUUGAUCAUGUUUAAUCGAGUCAUUGACAUGGUCAAGGCCAAGGUUCUCUAUUUGUAUGCGGCUCUUCAACGGCAAAAUCCUCAACUUUGAACCUUUAAUUCAGGGGUUUGAAGGCGCUUCUGAAUGAUAACUAAGUAGGAUUUGGUGGAGCUUCAUUCUUCCUGGUCGCUGUAGCUCUACUGUGAGCUAUUUGCUUUAUUGGCUCUGUAUUUUAGGUGGUGAUGUACUCAAACAGUUGUUUCUGUACUAGUUUUGAAGAAAGUAAUUGUGGGCGUUAUAUGGAAGCUAUUCCUGUAAGACAUGGCAGCCCACACAGCAAUUUUCUAGUGCUGCAUCAGAAGCACAUGUUUGGUUUUGGUGUGGUAUAGAGGAUAUGCCAGUGGAGUGAUUUGGCCUUAGUUCAAAAGUCACCAUAAAUGCAUAGUUUGAGCUGCUUAAUUGUUGAUAUCCAACGAAGGCAAAGGUUUGUGUUGCAGUGUGGCAGACUAUGAGUUACAUGCUACAUCUGCUGCUCUUAUGGAUACAUACACAUACAGCUAUCGAGGUGCUCUGGUAGACGGUAGUCUGUAAGUGAAGCAGUCAACAGCAGUAGUCGUUUGGCCUGUUUAGAAAUUGAAUUUCAGUCACCUGUAAUUUUUCUAUUUUUAAUAAAAUUUUGGUUGUCAUA